rnacentral:lncRNA from 1 species
GGGAGCUGUAGACUGGAGCUGUUCCUAUUCGGCCAUCUUGGCUCGCGAACUCCAAUACCACCUUUUGUCGGAACUCGAGUCAUGACUGACCCUCACUAUACUGAUGCUUUCUGACUGAGUUUCUCUCUACCCUAAAUACAAGAGACUCUAAUAGUUAGGCAGGAAUAUCAUUGCCCCUAUUCCGCCUGAAGAAGUUACAGAAGACGGAUCUUUGCCCCUCUGCAACCCUUAAGAUUAAGGGUUCUCUUAUAAAAGGGAGAAGGGAAAUGCCAGAGGCAUGUGAACCAGAGCAACUCCAUCUUAAGUAGGAGCUGGGUAAAAUGAGGCUGAGACUUACUUGGCUGCAUUCCCAGGCAGUUAAGGCAUUCUAAGUCACAGGAUGAGAUAGGAGGUCAGCACAAGAUACAGGUCAUAAAGACCAUGCUGAUAAAACAGCUUGCAGAAAAGAAGCCAGCUAAAACCCACCUAAACCAAGAUGGCCAUGAGAGUGACCUCUAGUUGUCCUCACUGCUGCACUCCCACCAGUGCCACGACAGUUUACAAAUGCUAUGGCAACAUCAGGAAGUUUCUCUAUAUGGUCUAGAAAGGGAAGGCAGGAAUAAUCCACCCCUUGUUUAGCAUAUCUUCAAGAAAUAACCAUACAAAUGGGCAACCAGCAGCCCUCAGGGCUGCUCUGUCUGUGGAGUAGCCAUUCUUCUAUUCCUUUACUUUCCAAAUAAACUUGCUUUCAUUUUACUCUAUGGACUCAUCCUGAGUUCUUUCUUGCAUGAGAUGUAAGAACCCUCUCUUCGGGUCUGACUCUGGACUCCUUUCCUUUAACAGUCUUCCAAUCUAUGAAUAGGCUAUACUCCUCCAUUUGUUUCAUUGUUUUAAACUGUUGCUAGUAUAUAAAAUGCAAUUGAUUUUUGUAUAUUGACCUUGUGGCUAGCAGUCUCAAUUUAUCUAUUAAUUCUAAUAAUCUUUUAUGCAGAUUUAUUCAGAUUUUAAAUACACAACCAUGUCAUCUGUGAAUAAUAACUGUAUUAUUUCUUUUUGCAAUCCUUACUUUUCAUUUCUCCUUUCUCACAUUAUUACAGAGUUUACAGUUUGCCUCUUUGCCUAAUGCCAAUUCCACAAAAAAUUCAAUAUUUUAUCGUUAAAAAUAUUUAAGUUUAUGGAGAAACUCUUUUAAAUAUUAAUAAAUUGCCAUUGAAAUUCUAGUGGCUAAGUAUUUGGCUCAUGAAUGAAUGUUGAAUUGCAUCCCAUAAAUUUUCUGCAUCUAUUGAGAUUCUUACAUUUUUUCCUUACUCUUAAUAUAAUGACUUACAUUAAUUUUCUAAUGUUAAAUCAACUUUUCAUUUCUAUUAUAAACUUGAUUAUGAUAUAUUGACCUUUUCAUAUAUCAUUUAAUUUGACUUGCUAAUAUAUUUUGGAUUUCUGCUUCCAUGUUCCUAAAAGAUAUUUGCAUGUUCUUUUCUUUUCUUGUAAUGUUUUCGUCAGAUUUUGGCAUCAUACUUUAAUUACAAAGUAAGUCCUUAAUUUUUUUUUAUUAUCAUAAAAUGUUUAGGUUAAUAUUGGUGUCAUUUUCUUUCCUUAGUGGUCUGUAAUAAUUCACUGGUGAAGUCAUCUAAGCCUGGAGUUUUGGUGGUAGAAAACUUCAAAUUACAGAAUUGAUUUUUAAUAGAUAGAAAACUAUUCAGACAUUCUGUGUGCUUGUGUCAGUCAUGUAUAGUACAGUUUUCAAGAUAUUUAUCAAUUUUAUCUGAAUGUUUAAAUGUAUUCCCAAUGUUGUUAAUAUCCUCUCAUCUUUUAAUGUCUGCAUGAUCAGUCACAUUCCUAAAAUUGUCAUUUUAUCUUUUUUUCUUUAUCUUGAUAAUUACUUUAUUAAGUAAAGGUAAUUAUCAAUUAUUUUUAAAGAAAAAACUUCUGAAUUUUAAAACUCCUUGGCGUAUGUUUUGUAGUUCAGUAGCUUCUGAUCUUAAUUUUUAUUGUUAAUAAAAAUUAUAAAAUAAAAAUCUUAUUUUUACUGGAU